GUGACACUAAAGGACAAAAAGACCUUUUGAAGCUUUAUAGGGAUAAAACUCACCUUUAAAUCAACAAACAAUGAAAUCCAUCUUGUUGCUUCUCCGCUUUUUAAAUUGCUAAAGCCUUACAAGAUUUACAACAUCAAGACC
rnacentral:rRNA from 1 species